UUCCCUACGGGACGCAGCAGUGGGGGAUAUUGCACAAUGGGGGAAACCCUGAUGCAACAACGCCGCGUGAGUGAGGAAGUAUUUCGGUAUGUAAAGCUCUAUCAGCAGGGAAUAGAAAAGAAGGUACCUGAAAAAGAAGCCCCGGCUAACUACGUGCCAGCAGCCGCGGUAAUACGUAGGGGGCAAGCGUUAUCCGGAUUUACUGGGUGUAAAGGGAGCGUAGACGGAAAGGCAAGUCAGAAGUGAAAGCCCAAGGCUCAACCAUGGGACUGAUUUUGAAACUGUCAAAAUAGAGUACGGGAGAG
rnacentral:rRNA from 1 species